rnacentral:rRNA from 1 species
GACAGAGGGGGCAAGCGUUGCUCGGAAUUACUGGGCGUAAAGGGCGCGUAGGCGGGAUGGCAAGUCGGUCGUGAAAUCCCUCAGCUCAACUGAGGAUCGUCGAUCGAUACUGCCGUUCUUGAGGAUUGCAGAGGAGACUGGAAUUCCCGGUGUAGCGGUGAAAUGUGUAGAGAUCGGGAGGAACACCGGUGGCGAAGGCGGGUCUCUGGGCAAUACCUGACGCUGAGGCGCGAAAGCGUGGGGAGCAAACGGG